UACGAAGGGGGCUAGCGUUGCUCGGAAUGACUGGGCGUAAAGGGCGCGUAGGCGGCUCAUACAGUCAGAUGUGAAAUUCCUGGGCUUAACCUGGGGGCUGCAUUUGAUACGUGUGGGCUUGAGUGGGGAAGAGGGUCGUGGAAUUCCCAGUGUAGAGGUGAAAUUCGUAGAUAUUGGGAAGAGCACCGGUGGCGAAGGCGGCGACCUGGUCCUUGACUGACGCUGAGGCGCGAAAGCGUGGGGAGCAAACAGG
rnacentral:rRNA from 1 species